rnacentral:rRNA from 1 species
GUCAAUUACAACGAUAAAGCCCUUUCGGGGAGGUAUUAGCUGGCGCAACGCGGGUGUAGUAACACGUUGGGCAACUCUGCCCCUGCACGUCGUGGGACAAGCCCCUGGAAACGGGGUCUAAUACCGGAUAUGACCGUCUUGGGCAUCCUUGACGGUGUAAAGCUCCGGCGGUGCANGAUGAGCCCGCGGCCUAUCAGCUUGUUGGUGAGGUAAUGGCUCACCAAGGCGACGACGGGUAGCCGGCCUGAGAGGGCGACCGGCCACACUGGGACUGAGACACGGCUCCAUACUAAUACGGGAGGCAGCAGUGGGGAAUAUUGCACAAUGGGCGAAAGCCUGAUGCAGCGACGCCGCGUGAGGGAUGACGGCCUUCGGGUUGUAAACCUCUUUCAGCAGGGAAGAAGCGAAAGUGACGGUACCUGCAGAAGAAGCGCCGGCUAACUACGUGCCAGCAGCCGCGGUAAUACGUAGGGCGCAAGCGUUGUCCGGAAUUAUUGGGCGUAAAGAGCUCGUAGGCGGCUUGUCACGUCGGUUGUGAAAGCCCGGGGCUUAACCCCGGGUCUGCAGUCGAUACGGGCAGGCUAGAGUUCGGUAGGGGAGAUCGGAAUUCCUGGUGUAGCGGUGAAAUGCGCAGAUAUCAGGAGGAACACCGGUGGCGAAGGCGGAUCUCUGGGCCGAUACUGACGCUGAGGAGCGAAAGCGUGGGGAGCGAACAGGAUUAGAUACCCUGGUAGUCCACGCCGUAAACGGUGGGCACUAGGUGUGGGCAACAUUCCACGUUGUCCGUGCCGCAGCUAACGCAUUAAGUGCCCCGCCUGGGGAGUACGGCCGCAAGGCUAAAACUCAAAGGAAUUGACGGGGGGCCCGCACAAGCGGCGGAGCAUGUGGCUUAAUUCGACGCAACGCGAAGAACCUUACCAAGGCUUGACAUACACCGGAAACGUCUGGAGACAGGCGCCCCCUUGUGGUCGGUGUACAGGUGGUGCAUGGCUGUCGUCAGCUCGUGUCGUGAGAUGUUGGGUUAAGUCCCGCAACGAGCGCAACCCUUGUCCCGUGUUGCCAGCAGGCCCUUGUGGUGCUGGGGACUCACGGGAGACCGCCGGGGUCAACUCGGAGGAAGGUGGGGACGACGUCAAGUCAUCAUGCCCCUUAUGUCUUGGGCUGCACACGUGCUACAAUGGCCGGUACAAUGAGCUGCGAUACCGUGAGGUGGAGCGAAUCUCAAAAAGCCGGUCUCAGUUCGGAUUGGGGUCUGCAACUCGACCCCAUGAAGUCGGAGUCGCUAGUAAUCGCAGAUCAGCAUUGCUGCGGUGAAUACGUUCCCGGGCCUUGUACACACCGCCCGUCACGUCACGAAAGUCGGUAACACCCGAAGCCGGUGGCCCAACCUUAUGAGGAGCC